GGUGCGAUAUUUUCCGACAAUGGGCGAAAGCCUGAUCCAGCCACUGCCGCGUGCGGGAUGAAGGCCUUCGGGUUGUAAACUGCUUUUGUACGGAACGAAAGGCCUCUUUCUAAUAAAGAGGGGUCUUGACGGUACCGUAAGAAUAAGCACCGGCUAACUACGUGCCAGCAGCCGCGGUAAAUAAAAAAAA
rnacentral:rRNA from 1 species